rnacentral:rRNA from 1 species
CGAACGGUGAAGCUCAAGCUUGCUUGGGUGGAUCAGUGGCGAACGGGUGAGUAACACGUGAGCAACCUGCCCCGGACUCUGGAAUAAGCGCUGGAAACGGCGUCUAAUACUGGAUAUGACACCAAUCCGCAUGGGUAUGGUGUGGAAAGUUUUUCGGUCUGGGAUGGGCUCGCGGCCUAUCAGCUUGUUGGUGAGGUAAUGGCUCACCAAGGCGACGACGGGUAGCCGGCCUGAGAGGGCGACCGGCCACACUGGGACUGAGACACGGCCCAGACUCCUACGGGAGGCAGCAGUGGGGAAUAUUGCACAAUGGGCGAAAGCCUGAUGCAGCGACGCCGCGUGAGGGAUGACGGCCUUCGGGUUGUAAACCUCUUUCAGCAGGGAAGAAGCGAAAGUGACGGUACCUGCAGAAGAAGCACCGGCUAACUACGUGCCAGCAGCCGCGGUAAUACGUAGGGUGCGAGCGUUGUCCGGAAUUAUUGGGCGUAAAGAGCUUGUAGGCGGUUUGUCGCGUCUGCUGUGAAAAUCCGGGGCUCAACCCCGGACUUGCAGUGGGUACGGGCAGACUAGAGUGUGGUAGGGGAGACUGGAAUUCCUGGUGUAGCGGUGAAAUGCGCAGAUAUCAGGAGGAACACCGAUGGCGAAGGCAGGUCUCUGGGCCACUACUGACGCUGAGAAGCGAAAGCAUGGGGAGCGAACAGGAUUAGAUACCCUGGUAGUCCAUGCCGUAAACGUUGGGCGCUAGGUGUGGGACUCAUUCCACGAGUUCCGUGCCGCAGCUAACGCAUUAAGCGCCCCGCCUGGGGAGUACGGCCGCAAGGCUAAAACUCAAAGGAAUUGACGGGGGCCCGCACAAGCGGCGGAGCAUGCGGAUUAAUUCGAUGCAACGCGAAGAACCUUACCAAGGCUUGACAUAUACCGGAAAACAUCCAGAGAUGGGUGCCCCUUUUUAGGUCGGUAUACAGGGUGGGUGCAUGGGUUGUCGUCAGCUCCGUGUCGUGAGAUGUUGGGGUUAAAGUCCCCCGCAAAC